rnacentral:rRNA from 1 species
AGCGGAGGAAAAGAAACUAACCAGGAUUCCCUUAGUAACGGCGAGUGAACAGGGAAAAGCCCAGCACCGAAGCCUGUGGUCGUUUGGCCCCUAGGCAAUGUGGUGUUCAGGUUAGCUCGCGAAGAUGCUGCUCCACCCUAAGUCCUAUAAUGAGUAAGGUUACUCGGACAUGGCCCAUUGAGGGUGAAAGGCCCGUGGGGGUGGAGAUUC